rnacentral:sRNA from 1 species
AGUUGUUAAUGUGACAUAAAGUGUAAGUUUUUGCUCAGAAAACCAUCGAUACCCUUCGUUUAGUGCCUGUACAAGUUUACCUUCAUCUACCAUUCAAUUGCUUAUCUAUCAGCCAACAUUAAUUUAGUAUCAUAAAAUAUAGAGGUAAUUAUGUCAGGUAAAGUGACAGGUUCAGUAAAAUGGUUCAACGAAACUAAAGGUUUCGGUUUUCUUACUCCAGAUAACGGUGGAAGUGAUGUUUUUGUUCACUUCAACUCAAUCGCAUCUGAAGGAUUCAAAACUCUCGCUGAAGGCCAAAAAGUAAGCUUCAACGUUGAGCAGGGCAAAAAAGGCCCUCAAGCAGAACAAGUAACGGUUCUGUAAUAGAAUGUUGAUGGCGUGAUACUUUAUCACGCCAUUGUUU